rnacentral:lncRNA from 1 species
UACGAUCCGAAUGUUCUCAGAUUGAGUUGAAUAAGUGAAAAGAUGAUGUGGAUCUUGGAAACUAUGAGAUCUUUUACCCAAUAACACUAUUUUUUAGAUCCUAGCAUGUGAGGGUGGUGGAAUCCUCUUUAAUUGGGUGGAGAUUAGAGUUCAUCUCUCUGAAAGAUUGAGUAGCGAGACUGCAAACCCUAAAUCCUUGAGGAGGUUUAUAUAGGUUUACCUAUAAGUUUAAGUAACUUAAUCACAUUUUUAGGCUUGGAUCACUUAAACUAGUCUAUUAGGUCCUAAUUAAUUAAUUAGUCUUAUUGUGUUCCAAUUGAUUAAUUAUCUUAAUCUAGAGACAUGCACCAUUCAUAAUCUCUUGCAUACUCUUGCAUAUUUUCCAAAAUUCCUUAAUUUAUGCACGCAAAUGAAUAAAGAACCUAAAUAUAUCUUAAGUAAUAUGUCAUUGAGGAAUAUUACUUCAAGUAAGAAUCAUUGGGACCUAUAGAAAAGUAUUGGCUCCCUCAUGAUGUAAUUUUGAAGUUGACUCAACAUUCCACUAUGAGGAGUUAAUUGCACUCCAAUAUCCUAUAAUAUUAGCUUGAGAUAGAAUACUUGGGUUCAUAACCUUAUAACAAUUGCAUGCAAGCUUCCCAUGAACCAAUGUUUAUAAUUUAACAAGGUGAAUGUUAUCACUCUCUUAAAAUUACUUUUACAGUCUUUUAGUCUCAAAUCCUCUUAUUAUAUAAUCAAUUGACACAUUAUAGCUCUUUAAGCACAUAUAUCAAAUUCCAUUUAACUAAUUAUUAUAGUCAUAGAUUCAUACUUCUAACUUUCAUCCAUCCUUUCAAAACACAUCUAUGACACUCAUACCACAGGGCCUCUACUAUCCAAUCUACUAGUAGACUUCUUGAGAUGUCUCAUAUCCUACGACUUAUAGAUCAUUUCAUCAAGACCAACAUAUAUCCUUUUAACCAAUAUAAUAAGAGUUCUAAAGCGACUCACCAGGAUUGUACCAUGUGUAUAUGAAGCAACUGGUAAAGCCUAACCUGGCUAGUUCUAGAUGUCAUCUAUUAUUUUCUAAGGAAAGUGAAAGAGAAGUUGUUAGCUUCAGCAUGUUUAAAGAUACAACACCAGCUCCAAGGUAACCAACUCAAGUGCACUGUAUUCAAGAUCACUAACACAAUAGUUACACAGUUGGCAUGACUGUUAGCGCAAUUAGCUAGGUAGUUUUCCCUUGUUAUAACAAACUCUAAUAGUUGUUAAGAAUUUACUGCUACUUAAGGAAGUCACCACCUGUAUUGUAAACUUAAAUGAACCGAUAAUGAGAAAUAGCUAAUAUUUUCUUUCAUCCAUUUUUUUUUUGCCUUUUAACACAACACGACAAUAUCUCAUUCCAUUAUCUAAAUUGAUCUCUUAGUAUCCAUUGCAUUAAGGCUACCAGUUACUUAAUUUCGAUUGAUGACUUGCACACUAUUGUCUACUCUAUUGAUUAUUAAAAUAUUGUAUUAGUUCACUCUUAGUCUUAGCUAGCUACUCUUGGCACUCGUAGGAAUAGGGUUCUGCAUAUUCUUUCCUCUUCAUUUGAUGUCGAGAGCAAUCCUCCUACCCCAAUUGCCCUUAUGCCCACAACACAUGCAACUACUCCACCUAUUUUGUCUGCUCCAUCUCAGACUAUCUCUACUACUCCUACCCCUCUAUCAUUAACACCUAUUCACAACAUUCUUAGACUUUCUCAGCCUCAGAUUGAUGAUCAUACUCCAAGUUUACUACAAGUUAUGACCUAUUUGGCCAUGCUUUAAGACCUCUUUAUGAGCAUGGACUCUUGUAUUGAUGUCAAGCUCAGUUGCAUGGAGACUUGCAUGUGGACGAUUUGACUUUUAUCAUUCAACAACUUAGCUCUUUAGCUAGAGUCCUCAAAUUGAGAGAUGGUUUGGUACCACCAGUUUAUGGAAACCUAGAGGUAGAUGGUGGUACUAAGGUUUGCCUUCAUUUUUUAUACCAAAGUUGAGGGAGCAAUGCUUGUAGCCACACCCAUCCUACAACUCAGGUGCAUUAGGAGUUGCACUGAAAAUCCAUGUCAUGGGUUCCUUACAAGUUAAUAAAUUGUUCGCAACUAGUUCAUAGACUUAGGAAACCUAUUUAAGGUUGUAGUGUACAACCUCUUAAUUGGAGGGAUGAUUUGUCUUGGUCAUUAUGAUGAGUUUCUCAUGGUAAGUGCAUUGUGUGCAUGGUUAUACAUUAGACACGGCCUAUGAUGAAUCAUGACAUUUACUAUUAGGGAGUCAUGAUUCACCAAACUACUAUGUUGACCUUGAGAGAAUAUUGAGAUAAUACUGAGGUCUUUAGUGGCUUUGGCUUAUAAGUGAGACCCUAAAGUGGUCAUAUAUUCCCUACAGAUUGGUCACUAUUGAUUAAAGCAAGUGACAAUAGGCAUUUUCAAAAUAGGCACCAUAAUAUCUUAUGGGAUUAGGACAAUGUGUCCCCUUAGGUGAUUAUAAGGACUUGUGAUUAUGAAAUCUAUAGCAUUGUAGGAAUCCUUUUAGUGGAAUUUGACAUAUGCUUUAUGUUAGUUAGAGUAUGUCAAGUGAUCAUAUAAUAAGACAAUUUGAAACUCAAUGAUUGUAGAUGAAAUCUUGAGAGGUUGAUAGCAUUUGUCUUGUUAGAUAAUGGACACUAGUCCAUGGAGAGUCUAGAUGCAUGGGAUAGUAUGUCAUGGACCAAAAGAAUUGAUUAAAUUGAAUUUGAUCAAUUUUGAUCUUGAUAACAUAGAAUAUUGGAGUGCAAUUAACUUUCUUUAAUGGAUUAUUGAGUUAACUUCAGAACUGGAUUAUAAGGGAGUCAAUAUCUUGAUAUAAUAACAUAUGAUACUAGAGUGCAGUUGACUCUUUUUGGUAGAUUAUUAAGCCAACUUUCAAAAUUGGAUUAUAAGGAAGUCAAUAUUUUCUUAUGGGUACUAAUGAUCCUUACUCAAACUCACAGUCUUUGUUGACACAAAGGUUUAAGGGAAAUAGAUUUAAUCAUUUGCUUGCAUAAUGGCAUUUAGGUGAAAGAACAAGAUUACAUAUGAAGUUAUGAUGAAUGUUUUCAAAAUCGGAUAGGUCACUAAACCGGAAAAGUUGUCGAUUGACGGUUCACUGGUCGAGCCAAAGAUUGAAUCGCAAUCGAACUAGUAAUGUAAUAAAUAUAUAAUUUAUAUACUAUUAAAAUUAAAAAUAAAUUUUGAAAAUUUAAAAUAUAUAUAUAAUUAAAAUUUUAAUAAUGUUUCCUUUUUCAUAUUUGAUAUGUCAAAUUAAAUGGUAAUGAUAAAUAUAAAUGUACUAAUAUAAUAAAUUUUAUUAAAUAGAACAUGUGUAAUAUUUAACCAUGAAAAUAUAAUUAAGAUGAAAAGAAAAUUUUAAUAUUUAAUUUUAUCUCUAUCUAUUUUAUUAUUUUAAAAUUUUAGAAAUUAUUAUACUACUUUUAUACUUAUCAUUAUAUAGUUGUUAUAAAAAUAAUUGUGAAUAUAAUAUAUAUAUAUAUAUAUAUUUGUUAAAUAGACUUAAAUGAUAAAAAUUUGAAAAAAAAAAUCAAUAUUUUAUAUAUUUUAUUUUAUUGAAACAUUUAUUAAGUUGGUUCCAUAGCCCAAUGGUCCAAGUAUUGGCCUUUUUAAUCCAAGAUCUGUGGUUCAAGCUUUCUUAAACAUUAUAAGUAAUCUCACAUUGGAAGUUUACAAAUUAUAUUUCCUGUAUAAAAACCUUGCUUAUUCUUGGAGCUUCAAACAUAUUGUUAGGGUGGAGUAUGUUAUGGGGCUGCAGUCAAAGCUCAUUAGGCCAUAAAUGAAAGGGGUUCACAUUAUGAUUUUGGUCAAAAUAUUAGUAUUGAUCGGUUCAAGAGAAAUGGGACAGUUUGUUUGGUUCGACAAUCAAACCAUCGAUUUGGAUGAUUCAAGACCAAUCUAACAUGGGAAUAAUUCAUUCCAGUCAACUAGACCGAAGAGCUGUGGAUUGACGAUUUGACCAAUUUAAUUAAUUGAUAUGAUUUGACUUUUAAUCAAAGGAGUCAUUGAGCCAAAGAUUGUGAGGUUUUGAGAAAUCUUUUAUAAAAAAGGAUUUGAGUUUGAGAAUAUCCAAACCCAAGAAUGGUUUUUAUUUGUUAUUGGGUCCUCUCAAACAUGCAUCAUGCUGGUAUAAUGACUCAAAUAAAUAUAAAAUAAAAUAAAAAUUUUAUUUUUAUUUUAUAGACUUGAUAAUUUUCACUUGUGAGAGCCGAAAGAAUAGAAUAAAUAUAAAAUAAAAAUUAUAAGAUAGUUUAGGUGACCUUUACAUACAUUUUUUGCAAAACUUCUAUAGAAAAAAAUCAUGAUUUAACCCAUGCUCUCCAAAGCUACUAUUAAAAUUUUAAAAAUUUGAAAUAAUUUAUAUAUAUUAAAAUUUUUUUUUUAACUUCUAUAAAAUAAAAAAAAUAAAAACCUAGAAAUUGACCUUAUGUUCUAAAACAGUAGUUACCAAAAUUUUUAAAAUUUGAGAUAGUAAAUUUUUUUUUCAAUACCUAUAUAUUUUUCUAAACUAUUUUUGAAAAUCAUUGUCUUGUUAAAUUAUGCAUCUUUCAGUGGCUAUUUUCUAUUUUCUAAAAAUAAAAAACAAAAAGGUCUCUAAAUACCACCAUCGAUUUUACAUUCAAUUUUUUAAGUCACUAAUAUUUAUAGAAAUUAUUAAAAUAUUUUUUUUUCCAAGAACAAAAAUUUAACUUGAAUGCAUUAAUAUUUUCAUUUAGUAAUAACUUUCACAAAUUAUGGAUUCGGAACAACAAAUUAGGACAAAUUAAAAGAUGUUUUAAGUAUUUUUUGCAAGACAUUUGAGAAAAAACUUUAAAAUAAAAAAGUACAUAUAUUAUUACGAAACCAAAGUGUCAAAGAAAGAGAGAUUUUCUCAUGAAAAUUGUUUUCUUUACAUCAUUCUCAGAAAAAUAAUUAAAUUUUUGUAACAAAAAUGUCCAGUAGUUAUUUAGUUACAAAAAUAAAAAUAAUUUUGUCUUUGGACCAUAGUUUGCAGGACUAUAUAUAUAUAUAGAGGAGAGUUGGGAGGUGUAAUUAAAUGUCCAAGGUCAUGUUUUGUUCAGAAGAUUAUUAAAAAAAAAAAAUGGAAGAAAAUCAUAUUUAAUUUUGUUGUGAAAGAAAUGAAAAAAUAAAAUAUAAUUAAAAUUAUACAAAAAUGUGUACAUUUUGAAAUCAUUUGACUUUUAUAAAAACAAGAAACAAAUUAAAAUAAUAUAUAAAAAUAAUUUAUUGAUUUUAAACUUAUUUUUAAAAUUUUUUUUAACUUUCUAUCUUUUUUUAAAAGAAAAUUCUCUGUUUUCUUUUUCUAACACUUUUCCUCGGAUUUUUAGAAACUAAACCUAACCUUAAAAAAUAAAAAUAAAAAUAGUAUAUGGACAGGAUGAGAUUUUAAACUGACGUAUCAAGCCAUCAAGCCAUAGUCUGCAUUAAACUUAGGCUUAGGGCUGAGUUUUAGCUAAGAGUUAAAUUCCAAGUAUGGGCCAAGCCUAAUGACUUUUCUUAUUUGGGAUAAUUGUUGAGCAUGGAGUGGGCACAUCAACUAUCCCAUCACAAACUAAAUUGUGUCCCACUAAAUUAUUUUAUCGAAGGAAACAUUUUAAACAAAAAAAAUUAUUCAUCCUAAAUGAAUCUAUGAACAUGUUUGUAAUUGUAUUGUUUUUUGUUUUAAGUAUUCAUACUUUAUCUAAAAAAACUUUCAAAAAUAUAUAAAAAUAGGAAAAACAAAUCAAACUCCUGUCAAAAUCUCUGGAAUAAAAGUUUGUUCUUUAAUGACAAAAAAUAUCCUUAUGAAAAUAACUCAAUAUUUUAAAAAUCGGAUUGAACAUUAAACCGAAAAAGUUACUAAUUAAUGUUUCACUAAUCAGACUGAUAGUCGAAUCGAGGUCAGACCAAUAAUCAAAUCAGAAUCAAAUGGGUGGUCGAACCGAGGUCAAAUCCGUAACGUCAUAAAUGUAUAAUUUAUAUUUUCUUAAAAUUAAAAAUAAUGUUAAAAUAUUUAAAAUAUAUAUAAUUAAAAAUUAAAAAUAUUUAUAAUAUUAUUUAUUCAUUUUUAUAUAAAUGUAUUAAUAUUUUAAAUUUUAUUAAACAAAAUAUAUACAAUAUUUUAAAUAUAAAAAUAUAUUGAAAAUGGAAAAAAAAUCAUAUUAUAUAUAUAUAUAUAUAUAUAUUUGUGGACCCCGCAUUUCGGCUCAUGCGUUUCCCACUCGAAUGGCGAACUCGAUUUUUGUUUUCGAAAAAAAUGAUAUUUCUUGAUUAAGAAAAAUUGACUUGGAGUCGCCACUUAUUUUUGUUUUAUUUUUAAAGGGUAAACAAAAUAAGAAAGAAAAACCCUAAGUGUGACUCCUUGUUUUGGAAAAGGUGAUCUAUGAAAACCGGAUCGGGUUCGGGGGUCGGGUUACUUAUCGGGAAGGUACGGUAGAGACCGUAGCACCCCUCUAAGUCCCUAAAGUCGGGUCUCUACUAAUAAAGUGAAACUGACGUGGCAAUCGAAUAAGAAAGUCAAUGGAUACUCACAUCAAUCAUGCAUAUAUGAGAAUCAGAAUAUGUACUGUGUAUGAUCAGAAUGGGUGAAUGCGUACCUGGGCAGCAAACAGCAACGCGCUAUCAAGAAACGGGAUUAGUGCACAAUUAAUGAAUACAAAAUAUAGCCUAUGCAUAUCGGAGUGUGAAACGAAGCUCAAGCGAGAUACAUUAAGCACGACAAUUGACAGUCAAAAAGGGAUCAAACAUGGGGUCCCCAACAAAGCCCGAUUUAUUGUUCAUGAGCUAAUCCCACAAAUCACGUGUUUUGGAAUUAUGAAGGAAUCAUUAUUUGCUUAUGUAAAGUCAAGAAGAUCAGAAGAUUAUUUAGGAACUGAAAUGUGAUUAAAGAUUAUUCGAGUGAAAACUGGAUUAUUGGAGCUUAUUUGAAAAUUGGAGUAUUUUGAAUUAAAUUUUAAAGAUUAGAGCUCCGGUGAUUAAAGUGGAAUUUGUUAAAGAAAAUGAGAAACGGACUUUAGGAAAUUGAACUGCUAGAAUAUAGAUUUUUGAUAAUAAUAAUAAUAAGAUUUUUGAAUAAUAGUAAUAAGAAAUGAACUUCAGGAAAUUGAACGGCUAGAGUAUAGAUUUUUAAUAAUGAUAAUAAUAAUAAGAAACGAACUUUAGGAAAUUAAAUUGCAAGGAUAUAGAUUUUUAAUAAUAAUAAUAAUAAUAAUGAAAAUAAUAACAAGGAGGUUUUGAAAUAAUAAUAAUAACAAUAAUGAUAACAAGAUUUUGAAAGUUGAAUUAAUAAUAAUAAUAAUAAUAAUAAUAAUAAUAAUAAUAAUAAUAAUAAUAAUAAGAUUUUUGAAUAAUAAUAAUAAUAAUAAUAAGGUUUUGAAAGUUGAAUUAAUAAUAAUAAUAAUAAUGAGAUUUUUUGAAAAGUUUGGAUUGAUGAUGAUAAGAAUAAUAGUAAAUAGGUGAUGAAAGUGUGAAUUAAUAACAAUGAUAAUAAUAAGGUUUUUGAAAGUUUGGAUUAAUGAUAAAUGGGUGAUGAAAGUUGAGUUAAUAAUAAUAAUAAUAAGAUUAUGGAAGUUUGGAUUAAUGAUAAUAAUAAAUGGAUUUUGGAAGUUGAGUUAGUAAUAAUAAUAAUAAUGAGAUUUUUGAAAAGUUGGGUUAGUAAUAAUAAUAAUAGGACUUUGAAAGUUUGGAUUAAUGAUAAUAAUAAUAAUAAUAAAUAGAUUUUGAAAGUUGAAUUAAUGGUGAUAAUAAUGAUGAGAUUUUUGAAAGUUUGGAUUAAUGGUGAUAAUAAUAAUAAUAAAUAGACUUUGAAAGUUGAGUUAAUAAUAAUAAUAGUAAUGAGAUUUAUGAAAGUUGAGUUAGUAAUAAUAAUAGUAGGAUUUUGAAAUUUGGAUUCAUGAUAAUAAGAAUAAAUAGAUUUUGAAAGUUGAAGUAAUAAUAAUAGUAAUUAGAUUUUGAGAGUUGAAUUAAUAAUAAUCAUAGUGAUAGUAAUAAUAAUAAUGACAAGAAUAAUGAUAAUAACAAUAAUAAUAAUAGUAACAAUGAUAACAAUGAUAAUAAACAAUAAUAACAAUAAUAAUAAUAACAAUGAUGAUAACAAUUAAUAAUAAUGAUAAUGAUAAUAAUAAUAAUAAUAAUAAUAAUAAUAACAAUGAUAAUAAUGAUAAUAAACAAUAAUAACAAUAAUAAUAAUAACAAUAAUGAUGACAAUAAUUAAUAAUAUUAAUAAUAAAUGAUAACAUGCAUCCAUCAAGCCCAAAGCCCAUAAGCCCGGAUCCACUAGCAAGCCCCAUCUUCAUCAAGCCCAAACCCAUAAUAAUAAUAAAAUCACCCUAGCAACCCUGGUCUAGUCCAAGUCCAUCAGCAAAGCCCAAGCCCAAAUCCAAACCUCCAAGUCCAGCAGCAAGCUUUCAAGCCCAAAUCCAAACCUCCAAGUCCACCAGCAAGCUUUCAAGUCAUCUUCUUCCUCACCUCCGGAGACGGCGACGGAGGAAAUGAAGGUGAGAGAGGCAACGCCGGAGAGCCUCGAAAUCUGUCCAAGAUGCCCGGUUUCCGCGCCGCCACCUCGAUUAUCGCCACCCGUGCCGCAUCCGCCGUCGCGUUCCAGCGUCGACGUUCAUGAGAGGAGCCCGCAGCUGCAGCCUGGUGUCUGCGCACGAGGAUGGAGCCAGCAGCCGCGGCCUUUGCAGGCGUGUGAGGGGCUUCUUCGGUCGAAUUUGGCCGUCUGGGGGGGGGGGGGGGGAAGCUCGCCACGUACGUCGUCGACGAUGCUGCUGCCACCGAGUUCCUGCAGCGGGCGGGCUGGGUAAAGCGCCUUCAAGGGGCGGCGACGACGAGGGGAGAGUCGGUGGCGACACCCUCACGUGGAACGUGAGGUGCAUGGGACUCGCCGGAACACCGUAGGAGAGCCUCAUGCUCCCAAAACUGCAUCCGGGGCUCUCCAUUUGCUAGGAUGAAUGGAGCUGGAGUGAGCAUCUCCAGCUGCCGUCCCGGUUGACGCCUUCUUCAAGCUCAAGGUAUGAGGAAACGGGAGGAAAAUGAUGAGGAAAAAAAUAGAGGAUAGGAGUGGAUGCAGAUAGAUAUGGGUGUGCUGUUAAGGUGGAAUGAGAAUGUGAACGGUGAGCUUAAUGGGUAUUUGAAUGAGCAAGGCUGGCAUGUGCGCAUGGGGCUUCAUGUGCAUGGGAAAGUUAGCAAUAAGCGGGUAGGAAAUGCAUGGAAGGGGUAGUGGCCGGAAUGAGAGAUGUGAGACGUGAGUGGUGUUGGACAUAAUGGGUAUGUGCGGCCAUAAGAUAAAAAACAGAGUAUCAAUAGCAAAGAGCCAACACAAAAAAAAAAAAAACAGAGUAUCCAAACACAUGAGCCUCAUCUUAUCUUGAAGUCAGAAGGUUCUCGUACAGGUGGGAAAACCGGGUUGAAACAAGACCCAAAGAUAUGGCUCAGGCAUCCAAGGGAGAGGUAAAAAGGAAUCGGAUCACUCUUAAAUGAAUUUCAUAGGAAGAACAAGGCACAUAUUAUUGAUAACACAGUCACAACAAUAACAAGGAAAACAGCUGCAAUAGGUAUGUGGUCCAGAAAACGCACCUGAUAAGCUUCCCUUCAACUGCCAAUCAGCAAGAAGACCCCUGCGUUCCUUCCUUUUCUUUCCCUUUUUCCUUUCGCCUUCCUUUCUCUUUUUCUUUCGCUUUCUUUUCUAGCUUCCUCUGUUUUUCUUCUCUUCUUGUCUUCCUCCGCAAGCCAGCCGUAUCCCGUCCCAUCUGCAGCCCCCAAAAGCUCUGCCUUCUCCCCUGCAGCUUCAGAGCCCCCAAACACAGCUCUCCCAUCAUGUCGAGCCCCGGGAAAUAAAAAUUAAAAUUAAAAAAAGGUCCCUGCUUCCGGGGGUCUACAAUAUUAUUUUUUGACACAACCUAUGUAAUUUAUUCCCUAUUAAAUUAUGAUACAAAAAAAAGAGUAGCAAAGUGGAGCAAUAAUCCUAUUGUGAACCUGUCGGUUCAAGCUCCCCUGCUUUUAUAAUUCCUUCCCAUUCACUGUGACAUGAGUGGCUAUUGGGCCAUGAAGCUCAGUGCAGCGCUAGUGGCCUUUUUGCAAAAUAAAAAAGCGGGCAUUGAAUGUUGGGCUGUGAAGGGAGGCUUAGCCCAUUUUGCUAAAAAAAAUUAAAAAUGGAGGUGUUGUUGAACUGUUCGGUUCUCGAAGAACCAUUCAGCUCACCCAGUUCAACUGCUAGUUUAAGCAGUUCGAGAUCGGUUCAUUAGAUGAAUGGUUCAAAACGGGCAACCGGACCGGAAAGGCCACCGGUUGGCUGUCGGACCGGCCAUUGUCCGGUUUUCAAAACACUGGAAUAACUUAACAUCCGACAUAAACCUACGAGCUUAUAAACCAUCUUAGUGUACAAAACCUUUAAUAUAAACCCACAUGUAUGCCAUAAGAGCACUCUAAAAUUCAAGUACAAAAUCUGCCAUCCGCAGCACGCUGAAUCUUUUCGCAUCUCCAUCAUGAAAGCUUCCAAGGUAGAGUCUAUGAAGAGAAUUUUCUAAGCAAUGCUUACCAGGCAACAAAAUUUGCCACCCUUUCUAUGCUUUGACUCCAUUGCAUCUUGACCAUGUCUUUUUGUUCCAAGCUGGAUUUCAUCAGUAAACGCCAAUAAAGAUCUCCAUCCUCUGGUUCAUCUAAUAAACCCAACCUACACACAAGUUUAGUAAUUGAACAAAGAGAAACACUGAUCAUUCAUGAAAGGUAUAUUGUUUUGAGCACCCACGAUUCAUGCAUAAGAUAUCCACUACAUUUAGUGUUGUUUGGUGAUUUCUAGCUACAAGAUUUAAUUUCUAAGAAAUGAGAAAGCCAUACAGACAAGAUCAAGCAAAUGCAUACCAUGAUAAGUGACUGUAAAUUCUUCAAACCAUCUAUUGAAACGUGACUGUAAAUUAGCAUACUCAAACAAUUAGAACAACAGAAAUCAUGUUCAAAAGACACUUCAUCCAUUUAUGCAUACUAUCGGUCUAUUUGUGAACACAGACAUAGUGCAAGGCAAGAACUCAAAGCUGUUCACAAAGGGACACAAGUCCACUAGUGCAAAAUUCUAGGUGAUGUGAGGCAAUGCACACAAAUUGCUAUUGGUCCAUUUGUGUGGACUCUACAUCACAUCAUGCACAUGUACAUGGUUAAUUUGCUACCAACCGGAUUAGGUUGUCUUUUCAAUUAGAAGUCGUUAUCAUUAGUUAUUGACUUGUAACAAACUUAUGUUUAAGAAUAUCUUAGGUAUAAAUGAGUAGAAAUGUGUUUUCUUUUAUCCAUCCUAAAGAGAAUAUACAUGGUCUUGGUAGAUAGAUCAUUGUAAGAAAUAAUCUAAAAAAGAAAAGAAAUUCUUGAGUGAAUCUAACUGAAUAAGUACCCUUUUUUUUGGCCAUGAGGGAAAGGGUGAGAGAGAGCCUUCUAUUUUGUGCAAAAGAGAGAAACAAAGGUUCAAUAUCAUUGACUAGUAAAGCAUUUGUGGAUUCUUUUCUUGUGGAUAUAAGUGAUCUUCAUCAAACCACGAAGCAUCUUGGUGUUGUGAUUGUACUUUAUUUUUUGUUGUAUUUAAGUUAUUGGGCUUAUUUAAUUGAUCUUGUUGAUGUAAAAUCCCCUUAACAAACUGUUAUGAGAGCCUGUAGAUGGAUUUAACAAAGGUUGAUAUUCAAUCAGAAGAAUGAUUUGGCACUAUGGAGAAUGGAGAUGAUAGCAUCACUAGUUAAGAGGCCUUCAAGAAGUUCCUAGGAGUAAACUUACCAAGUUCUUUAUCCUUUGAGGACAAGACCAAGAUCCCUGAUAAAGCAUACAAUGUUGUCUUUUCGAGUCUUAGUGAUAAGAUGUUAUGUGAAGUCUUAAAGGAGUCAACUAUAGCUUUGAUAUGGUUGAAAUUGAAGCAUCUGCUCGUGGCAAAAUCUUUGACAAAUAGACUAUACUAAAAGUAGAAAAUGGCAUAACAGGUUGAAGACUGUAUUGACAACCUCAAUAAUAUCAAAUUAGAUCUUGAAAAUAGUAAAGUGAAGAUUGAAGAUAAAGACCAAGCAAUAAUCCUCUCAAAUUCAUUGUCUGAGUUAAAUAAGCACUUUGUAGACACCAUGAUCUAUGGUAGAGGGUAUUUAUUUAUGCAAGAAGUAUAGGAUGCCCUAAAUUCUAAGGAGUUGAAGAAGAAAUGUUAUAAGAAUAAAGAAGAUGACUCAGGGGUGAGGGGCACACACUGAGAUGGUGAUCUUGUAAGAAACUUUUUUAGGAUAUAUAUAGACCAAGGUCAAGGUUGAAAUAUAAGUACAUAAUGUUUUCUCUAUCAUAAAGAAUGCCAUGUAAAGAAAGAUUAUCCAAAAAGAUAACUUCAAGGACCCUGAAGAUAUUGGCACUACAUCAAAGGGGUAUGAAAGCACUAAGGUAUUAUCCAUUUCAAAAUCUAUUGAAAAUAAUUAAAUGAAUUAUUGAUUUUGGUCACACUUCUCACAUGUUUCCAAAUCAAUCUUGAUUUUCUUCUAUUAAAUGAUUGAUGGGGACUAAGUGUUGCUGGGAAACAAUAAGGCAUGUCACGUGAUUGGAGUAGGAGUUACAAAAAUCAAGAUAGCAGAUUGGGUUGAAAGCAUAUUGUAGGUGAGAGGCAUAUGCUUGAAUUGAAGAGUAAUCUAAUUUCACUGAGAAUGUUGGACAAAAGUGUAAAGGAGAAGAUGGAGACUUGAAGGUAAUUAAAGGAUCACUACAACUUCAAGGAAUAUAUAUUCUAGACAAAGUAAAGUUUUUGACACAUAGACUUAUAUAUCAGUGAAAAGAGUGGUCUAAAUAAAGUAAACAAAAUCUUCUUUGGGGAGAUAAUAUGAGUAAGUUGGAAUUUUCGGAAGAUUGCAUUUAUGGUGAGAUUUAUAGAAUUAAAUUCAAUAUAGAAAAUCAAAGGACAAAGGAAACUCUCGAUUAUGUUCAAUUAAAUAUUUUGGGCCAACAAGGAUUGAUUCUUUGAGUGAUUAGAUAUACCUUACAUUGAUUGAUGAUUAUCAAAGAAGAGUAUGGGUGUAUAUAAAAUCUAAAUGCAACAACUGUAUAGAGGGCUCUAUAGAAAAGGGAAGGAGAACCAUGUAUGCAUGCUUAUCAUAGUAUGGCUUAAAGCAGUUUCCAAGGCAUUGGUACAACAGGUUUGAUAUAUUCCAAUUGAAAUAUAGUUUUAAAAAAAUGUGGAUGUGAUAGUUUUUUUGUACUAUAAGAACCUCCUAUCUAAUACUGCCACUUAUUUUCCACUGUUUUUGUGUGCUAUAAGAAUGCCUUAUAAUGCCACUUAUUUGCUAAUCUAUGAUGACAUGUUCAUAGCAUCUAAUAGACUAAUUAAAGUCAUUUUUUUCAAAGUGAGUUAAAGACGAAGGAUCUUGGACUAGCCAAGAGGAUUCUAGGGAUUGAAAUCAUAAAGGUUCUUGAUAGGUUUGUGAUGUCAAGGGCAAAAUGGGAACAACAAUUAUGUUGUAUUUUAAGUUAUCCCAAGCUUAGUCACCUUGACUUGAAAUUGGGGAUAAGGAUUAUAUGGUAAAGGUACCCUAUGCUCGUGUAGUUGGAAGUAUCAUGUACGCCUUGAUGUGAUAAACCUAAUUUAUGUAAUGCUAUGAGUGUGAUCAGUAGGUAUGAAAAAUCUAGAAAAUGGAUUGCAAUGUUGUGAAAUAGCAACUAGGGCAUCUUCAAUAUAUUAAGGAUGUUGGAUUGAUGUAUUAGGGAGGGUAGAAUACAAGUCAAUAGGUUAAUAGCUAUGUGGAUUCUAAUUAUGCAAGAGACUUGGAUGGUAAGAGAUUAUUGACGUACAAGUUAUAUUUUUUAUUUAGGGAGAUUCAUAGUUUGCUAGACAGCCUCAUUAUAGUGCAUAGGUUCUCUUUCAAUCAUAGAGGUGGAAUAUAUGGCAAUAGCUAAAUCUAUCAAGGAAGCAAUUAUGCAGACAUAUACAAAGGUUGGUUAGUAACCUAAGCAUGAAGCAAGGGUCUGUAACAGUGUUUUAUGAUAGUCAAAGUGUAAUUUAUUAGUCCAAAAAUUAAAUAUAACAUGAGAGGAUAAAUCACAUUAAGGUAAGACUUCAUUUUAUCUUAGACAUAAACAUUGGGGGAGUAUUACACAUAAAGAAAAUCUUAACUCUUGGGAAUCCAAUAGAUAUAAUCGCAAAGGCCACAAUGUUUAAUUAGUUCAAGUAUUGCUUGGACUUAGUUUAUGUAAAAGGUUGCUAACUUAGGAAAUAGGAAAAGGCUAGUGUUGCAAGUGAUUUGAAUUCUACAACCAAUGUGGAGGAUUGUUGAGCAGUGAGUUUGAAAUAGCUUACUUAAACAAUAUGAACGAGUGAAAUCACAUUCAAAAGACGCUUUGUUCAUUUGUGUACAUUAGCAUAAAGUAAGGUAAGAGCUCAAAGGUGUGUACAAAGCGACAUGUUCCAUUUUGAAAACUUCAAGUGACGUAAGGUAAUGCACACUAAGUGGACAAGUCUCUUUGUGUGGUCUCUUCAGUACUUUGGGCACAUGCACUGGUUUUGCUACCAAUAAAGAUCAGGUUGUUUAUUCAAUUAAUGUUUAUUAUGAUUAGUUGUUCACUUCUAACAACUUUUAUUCAAGACAAAUGAGUACUAUUUUACUUAUUUUAAAGGGAAUCUAGAUCGCCUUGAUAGAUAGAUCAUUAUGAGAAAGAUUCUAAACACAAGAGAAAUGUUUGUGUAAAUAUAACUGGGAAGUGCUUCUAUGCUUUUCUAAUAGGAAAGUAUGAGAGAGAGUCCUGAAAGAAAAAAUGAAGGUCGUAUCUCAAUGAUCAAUUAUCAAACCUUUGUAGAUUCAUUUCAUAUGGAUAUAGGUGGUUUUCACUGAACCAGGUAAUAUCUGUGUUUUAAGUGUGCUGUAUUUUUUGUUGUGUUUUUGUGAUUCUUAGGUUUGUUUAAUUAACCUUGUUUGAGCAAAAUCUCCUCAACACCAUCCAAUAUAUCAAAGGAUUUCUUGACUAAAUUAUGAUUCCAAUUUGAAGUGCCUCAUAACAUGUAAUGAAAUAAUUGAAAAUCAUCUAAAAAUCUGAAAACGAGGUUUCAGAAAUCACAAACAUGAAUCAUUCUCUAAAGAUAUAGCUUAGAGAAGUUGUUUUAUAAUGGAGAAAGUAACAAACAAAAAAUGUAUUAAUACCAUGUAUAAGAAAGUAACAAAAAAACAUUUACGUAUUAGUACUAUGUAUCAUAGCUAGUCAUGUGUUUACUUUUAGCUAAUCUUAUGCUUCAAUCAGUACACAUGAGUUUGGACCCAAAAUUUAGUUGCCUAGAGUAUUGGCUAAAGGGGGAAAGAUGACAUAUUUUCAUGAAUAACCUUCCUGGUGAAGGUCAUAAAUCUAAUCAUAUCCCAGAUGGAUAAUUCGAAAAUUUUCUAUUAGAGUUGUUUUAACAUUUGAAAUUGCAUAAAGUAGUCAGCGAAAAGCUAAUAGGAACUACUGUAAAACGAUUUAUGCUAUAAUUCAUUCUCAUCUUCUAGAGUUUGUGUGCACUUUCAAAGUGCCAAAAUACCGAUAUCAAAUUAAUGAAGGCAUGUAUAAGAAAACAAUGGUUGUGAACUUGGCAACGUCAGGAAGAUGGUAAAAGAGUUAAAUAAUUAUAAAGGUAAAGUUGUGGCUUCAUGAUAAAUAUUUUAUAGUUUGGAGGAUACUUGGGAAAUCUUCUGUAAAUUGCAAGGAAUAUACAAGAAGUCUUCAAUUGAUUAAGCAAGAAGAACAUGUGGAAAGCACAACCAAUCCAUCUGCCUUAAUAUGUCUUCAAGUUGGUAAUUGAUGGUGGGGACUUUAGACAAAUGCAGAAUGACUAAAAAAGAAAUUGCUACCAUUGAUUCAAAUUCUAAUAAUAACUCAAAAAGAACUACCACUAAAGGUCAAAUGAAAAUCGCAUUAACAGGCACGAAAUACUAAAUCAGAGCAUGUUGGGAACUGAUUCAUUCAUUUUGCCUUUUACUAUAGGCACAAACUAAAGUACUAAAUGAUCAUAAUCUAUGGAUGGCCUUAAAUUGUAUCAAAGGUUUCCUGAAUAAAAACCAUGCUGAGACUACCUAGCACAGCCAUGGUUUGAAAUGGUAUAAGCUAUAGCCAUCAAGAUCAUAGAGUCUUGAAAAUUAACUUUUGUGGUCAUCUGCUUGGGUAACAAAAAUAGGGGUUUGAGGUAUGAGAAUAGGCCUUCAUGCUAAUUCUAUCUAUGGCAUUGGCAUCAGUUUUUGAGGUUUGUCCACAUUCAAUUGCAUGUUCUGCAAAUAAACAAGUGAAAAGUACUUUUGUAUUUCACUCUCAAAGCCUCCUUAUAAAGUACUUUUGUCCUACCAAGGUUGUUAGUGGGAUCAAAAUAAUCCUUUUUCUGUGAUUUUUGAGUAACACAAAAUCCCAAGCCAACAACAUUGGACAAACUCCCUAGGCUAACACCAAAUCCCAAGAACACACAAUCUCAAGCUUACUCCUUGAGCCAAUACCAAAUCCCGAGCCAACUCGAUCUUGGAUAUAUUUCUCGGGCUGACACCAAAUCCCAGCCACAUACAAUUUGAAGCCCUACUUCUUAAGGCAUCAUUUUCCUGGGAGAGGCAUUGUGGCCAACCUUUGGCUGGUGGUUGACCAAAUUAGAGAGGCCUUGAAAGAACCUUCAUUUUGAUGUCUGGGUGGAAGGAAUGAGGAAAAUCCAUGUACCAUAUGCCUUUCAUGCAUUUUGAACUUGUUCUAGAGGUUUCCGACCCAAAACCAUAAAAAAGACCAACAAAAUUAAGAUGGCCACCUCUAGUAUAACAUAAUGAAAACAGGGGAUGGCUGUGGUAUCCUAACAAAUCACUCGAUCAAAACGGUUUUCCUCUCCACUGCAGGGAACUCCUCCACUGCAGGAAAGAAGAAGAUUACAUUGCAUACGUUUCCAACAGAAUUGGCUAUUCCACUAAAAUUUAAUUUCUCAGUAUCUACGUAUCAAAACAGAGUGAUUUUUCAUUGAGAAAAGACGUACUUGGUUGUAGAUUUUGGUGAUUUGAUAAUCAUUUUUUUUUCAUACAAAACAUUUGAUUUUCAGUGCAGUCCAGAUCAAAGCCCUAAAAAUGCAAAGAUAAAACAGAAAGGUUGUUUAAAAUUAUCUCAGAUCAAUGACAUAAGAACAUAAUUCACUGUCAAAACUCCAAGAAAAAACCCAAGAAACUAAUAUUACCUGUCUCAAACCUCAAGAAUAGAAAGAAAGAUAUGACAAGAAUUGAUGUAUAAGAGCAGCAAUGCGAUCAGUUGAUAAGCCUUACUACCAACUGUCAUAUAAUGAAAAGGCAAACCUCCAUUAUCUCAGUUCUGAAACUUUCAAAUGCGAAUCAAAAUCUGAAUGGGUCAUGGUUAGAAUCAAAAUGGCCUGUGAUUGAGAAGGUGUAAAGUACCGUAACUUAUUAACCCAACAAUGACUCUAAAUUAGAGAUUGAGAAGGUGUUGUGCAGCUUAAUAUAAUUUAAUGACUUAAGUUAUUAAGUAGUUAAGCAUGUUUGGUAAAAAUAAUUUAAUAUCACAACUUUAAAUAAAAAUUAAUUUUAAAUAUUAAGUUAAAAUUGUUAACUUAUUCUUAAUUCAAAACCUUUUUGUCUCAUUUAUUCAUUUUUAGUGAAGGUAUAUUUUAUGACUAUGAUCCUGCAUUUACAACUCAUCUUUUAUAGUAAAUAUUUUUGUAGUUAACUUAUGCAUCUACAAUACUUUAAAAAAUAUUAAUGUUUAACAAAUAAAUUUAUUAUUUAGAAUUAGUNNNNNNNNNNNNNNNNNNNNNNNNNNNNNNNNNNNNNNNNNNNNNNNNNNNNNNNNNNNNNNNNNNNNNNNNNNNNNNNNNNNNNNNNNNNNNNNNNNNNUUUUUUAAUUUUUGGGAAUUUCAACCCCCCCCCCCCCCCCCCCUAAAGGCUAAUCUAUUCCUUUUCUUCCACACCGUCCAAAAAAUAGACAACGGAAUGGCAUCCCAAAUCUUUUUCCUUUCCUUUCCCACAAACGAACCCCUCCAACUAACUAAGACUUCCUUUACAGUUUCUGGGAAAACCCAUUUCACGUCAACUAAACCAAACACUAUAUCCCAUAGAACUCUAACCACUGUACAGUGUAUGAGUAUAUGAUUUACACUUUCUUCCUCACAACCACACAGAAAGCAGCGAUUUGGAAGUUGUAAUCCUCUUCUUUGAAGUCUAUCCAAAGUCAGCACCCUCCCCCACGUCGCCUCCCAUGCAAAAAAACAAACUUUAGUUGGCACCCUUGUCACCCAAAUGCUUCUUGAAGGAAAGCCUAUAUCAUCAGAUCUCACCAGCAAGUUAUACGCUUCCUUUACCCUGAAUUGCCCCCUUCUUCCUUUUUUCCAGAGGAUUGAGUCUUCUUCUCCAGAGGGUUUGUGACUCCUCAAAAUCUGAAGAAAAUCCCCAACCAACCCCAAUUCCCAAUCAUUGAAAUCCCUCAAAAAAUUUAGAUUCCAAUUUCCGUGACCCGAAUUUUGAUCCCACAUUUCCUCAACCAUUCAGUUCCUUUGAACCGCCAUAGCAAAGAGAUGAGGAAAACAAUGUGACAACGCUGUCUCUGAACACCACACAUCUGUCCAAAAUCUGAUUGUGUUUCCCUUCCCUACUUUGAAAAUCAUGUUAUUCCAGCACCAUUUUGAUUCUUUCCAAAUCUCCUUCCAAACCCCUACUCCCACCGCCCCCAUAGCCUUCUUUGGCCUCCACCCAAAAUCCUCCUGCCCAUACUUCACCUUGAUCACUUGUUUCCAAAUAUUAUCUUUGUCACAAGCAUACCUCCAUAUCCAUUUGUCAAGUAAUGCUUUGUUCAACAAGGUUAGCUUUCUAAUGCCUAGCCCACCUUUAGCCUUAUCUGUACAUACCACCUCCCAAUUAACCAAGUGAGUUUUCCCCUCCAUAUUUCCUCCUCCCCACAAAAAGUCCCUUUGCACUUUCUCAAGUCUUCUAGCCACCAUCUUGGGCAUCCUGAAGAUAGACAUUUGGUAGAUUGGCAUGCUAGCCAAAGUGCUUUUUAUUAAAGUGACUCUUCCCCCUUUAGAUAUAUAUUGCCUUUUCCAAAGAGCUAGUCUCCUCCUGACUCUCUCUUCCACCCCAUCCCACAUAUAAGGCGCUCUAUUGAGAACCCCUAAGGGUAGACCCAAGUACUGAGAAGGUAAAGACCCCACCCUGCACCCUAGCUCAACAGCCAACUCCUCCAUCCCCACCACCUCUCCCACUGGAAUGAUUUCACUCUUUGCUAGGUUAAUCUUUAACCCUAAUGCCGCUUCAAACCAAAAUAAAAUCCAACUUAAAUGAGUUAAAUGGUCCUUUCUGGCCUCACAGAAUAUGAUGGUAUCGUCAGCAAAGAACAAAUGAGAGAUAUGCAAUGGAGGUUCACUACCGCCCCUUAUGUUGCACCCUGAUAAGAAGCCCCCCUCCACAGCUCUCCUAAUAAGAACAUCCAACACUUCCAUUCCCAUAACAAAGAGAUAAAGAGACAAGGGAUCUCCUUGUCUAAGACCUUUGGGGCUAGGAAAGAAACCUGCAGGCACUCCAUUAACCAUCACUGAGAAUUUAGCUGAAGAUAGGCAACUCCGCAUCCACCCCACCCACUUAGACCCAAAGCCCAUUUUCUGCAACACCUUCAAUAGAAACUUCCAAUUGAUGUUGUCAUAAGCUUUUUCUAUAUCCAGUUUGCAUAUAAGACCCUUUUCUUUUCGUUUUUGCCAUGAGUCUAUCACUUCAUUUGCAAUUAGAGAAGCGUCAAGAAUUUGUCUUCCCCUCACAAAGGCAUUCUGAGAAUUAGAGACCACCUUACCAACCACUCUCUUCAAUCUGUUAGCCAGCACUUUAGCCAAUAACUUGUAAAGACCCCCUAAGAGACUAAUAGGUCUAAAGUCUCCAAGGUCCUCAGCACCACAUUUCUUGGGGAUCAAAACCAAAAAAGUAUUGUUAAGGCUUUUGAGGAAAGAGCUAUGAUCAUAGAAUUCCUUGAACAUUUCUAUAAUCUUCUCUUUAAUAAACUCCCAACAGCUUUGCCAAAAAGCCAGAGUAAAACCAUCCGGACCAGGGGCUUUAUCCCCAUUCAUCUCCAUCAGAGCCCCAUGAAUUUCCUCCUCUGUAAAGGGCCUCUCCAAUAUCUCAGCCUCUUCUUGACUGAUCUGAUCUAGCCGAAGACUCCCAAUAUCCGCCUUCCACCCCGUAUCUUCUGAAAGUAGCUCUUUAAACGCAUUAGCAAUUCCUUCUCUAAUUUCCUGCUCCUCUAGGAACCACUCUCCAUUAAUCUUAAUUCUCUCCAUACAAUUAUUUCUACGAUGAGCACUUGCCAUACGAUGAAAGAAACCCGUGUUUCUAUCCCCCUCUUUCAACCAUAUCUCCCUAGAAAGUUGUCUCCAGUGAGUUUCCUCCGUAAUCACCCAUUUUUUGUAAUUUUCUUUUGCCUCUUUCUUAAGUUCUGAUUCCUCCAUAGUCAGAAUUCUUUCAUUUUCCUCCCUAUCCCAGAAUUCCACUUGUUGCAAAGCUGCGGAUUUGUUGCUCUCCAGCUUACCAAAUACUUCUCUAUUCCACACUUUCAGCUUCUGUUUGAUUUCCUUCAUCUUAGUAGCCAACUUGUAGCUAGCACUACCCCUAACAUCAAUUCCUUGCCACCAAUUGCGUACAAGCUCUUUAAAGCCCUCAGCCUUAAGCCACAUAUUUUCAAAUCUGAAUGGGGUCGGGCCUCGUCUUAUCCCACCCCCCACUAGCAUAAUUGGGAAAUGAUCGGACACCGGACGGGGCAGCCUACACUGGUUAAUCCCACUGAACUGAUCUCUCCAACUAGGAGACACAAGAAACCUGUCCAAACGAGCCCAAGUCUGAUUAUUUAGACCCCCAUUCCAAGUAAAAUCUCCCCCCUGAAGAGGAAGAUCCACCAGCCCAAGAUCAUCCACAAUUUCAGCAAAAUUUCUCAUUGCUGAGCUAAUCCUCCUCUGCCCACUCCUUUCCCUUGAGAACAAAGUAAUGUUAAAAUCCCCCCCUAUGCACCAAGGAUCCUCCCACAGCCCUCUAAUCGCCCCAAACUCUUCCCAUAAAGCAUCCAUCUCUACCUUAGAAAAAGGGUCAUACACUCCCGUAAAAACCCAUACAUUCCCAUCUUCUACAUUGCGAAAUCUGCAGGACAAGGUAAACGCCCCUCCUCCCAAUCUAGCAUGUCCAGAGUCCUUCUAUCCCAGCAUAUAAAAAUACCUCCCGAAGCUCCCUCCGCAUUCAUUGCUUUCCAGCCUAGGAAUCUCCCGGAGCCCAUACUUCUCGCAAUGCUAUCCGUCAUACACUGCACUUUUGUCUCCUGAAUGCACAUUAAGUCCACCCUCUGAUUUCUUAUAAACGUCUUAAUUAUUUUUCUUUUGGAGCUAUCAUUUGCUCCCCUCACAUUCCAGCUCAGAAUUUUCACCUUCAUUGGACAAUUACAAUUUGGCGCCCUUUGCCCUGUACCAAGCCUUUCUGUUUCAACCCUCCCUCAUAGUUUAUGGAACAUUCUAAACGUUUUAACUCCCUUUCAAACUUAGACUUUUCCAGUAACUCUUUGCUAUGUAUUUUCUCCCUUCUUUUCCUGAUCUUCGUCAAAAAAUUUAGGAUUUCCUUCUCUAAUCCCUCCGUAGGGAAGCCCAGAAACUUGCUGAAUCUUGCCAAACCACUCUCUUCCCAGUUACCCUCCAGCUCACUUCUCACAACUUGAGCAUCAUCUAUAUCGCCUACCCCUUCCAUCUCCCUACCUUUGUCACUAUUGCAGUGGAUGUCUCCCAGUUCCUUACAUUCCUUAAUCCUUUCAUUGCAAGCCUUAUACACUGUUAACCACAUUGAAUUAUCGGCCCGACCCUCCUCAUCCAAAUCCCCAGAAUGAUCGAAAAACUCCCCCCCCCCCCCCGAGGUCCGAAAAAAAAAAAAAAAAUUGGAAAAAAGGUUCCCCUUUUCCCUUUUCCCCCGGGAACNNNNNNNNNNNNNNNNNNNNNNNNNNNNNNNNNNNNNNNNNNNNNNNNNNNNNNNNNNNNNNNNNNNNNNNNNNNNNNNNNNNNNNNNNNNNNNNNNNNNCCCCCCCCCCCCCCCCCAGAGUUCAAUCAAAAAGAAAAGAAUUAAGAUGAGAGUUCCCCAUUUCCCUUUUCCCCCAGGAACCAACCCCCUUUCCAUACCUCAUUGAUUCCUCUUCAAGCGCCCUAUCCGUCUCUGUCAACCUCACCCCUCCUUGUAGCUUCCUUGUAUCCUCAUUCUCCCUCGCAACAAAGAGCUCUGCUUCUGGAGGAUGGCUGGGCGCAGAACCCUUCAAAAUAAGGCCCAUCACCUCUUGGCCUGCUAAUAAAUUAGGGCCCUCCCUUAUUGUCCACCUUGACCGAGCUGCUGGGUGCAGGCCUUUGAACAAAACCGGCCUUUAUUUGUCAACUGGGCUAGAGACGAAGCUGGACCUUUAGAAUAGCAGCCCACAACUUCCGAUGGGCCUGCGUCUGGGCCAACAUCGCUUACAGCCACCCCUUUAUUCUUCAAGUCCAUGGGCCCAAACAUUAGGCUAAGCCCGCCCUCCCUCCUUGUUUCCUUUAGGCCCGCGAUUGGGCUUAAAGACUUCAUUUCACCAGAUGAGACCCAAUUACGGGUUGUCGGGCUUAAAUCUGGACUGGUCUCGACCCGACCCGACCCGCCCCCCUGCAGCACCGUCCCAUCGUCUGACGGGUGCAGCAUCUCGAACCUCUCGCUCCCCCAACCCUUCAUCACUCGCUGCCCCGCGUGUGAAUCCUCCUCACCCCUAACCUCCCUGCUAUGACGAUCAACUUUGUCCCUACACUUCCUCCUCAACACCGGCCAACAUUCCCACCAAAGGGACACAACAUAGCUUUCUUCCUCCCCUUCGAUUUCCAAUACGUUCGGUCUAGCUUCCCCUCCCCAUUUCACUAGGAUUCUGGCCCAUUGGAGAUCUCUUAUCGAUCUCGUAUUUUCAUCGGCGGUGAUAAAACCACCGCAUGCAUCCCCCACUCUCCUCAAAAUUUCUGGGCUCCAUAACGAAAUUGGGAGCCCAACAAUCCUUACCCAGACGUCCCUUCUCUCUUCCCCCUCUGCCCAACAUCCGCUCCUAGGGCUCCAAUGUUCCAACCUUACCUGGGUUCCUUCCCACGCGCAGCUCCCAGAGGAAACGACUCGUCUGGCCUCUUCCAAAUCCUCAAAUUCCAACAGCGCUUUCCUCUUGUUCAACUUAGCCAGCCCUAGGUUACCUUUGAGGUCCCAAGACUUUGCCCAGAAUUUCCCCCACUUCUCAAUAUCAUCUUCCCCCCCCUGGUCCAUCUCUCCAGCUCGCCACAACACAAUGUUUCAAUUUCUUUUUUAAAGGUUCUGACUCCUCUUUUUUCACCUUUACUGCAACAGCAUUUAAAUUACCCGUCGGCGACUUUCUCACCAUUGUUGCAUACGAUCGUCCCAUAGCAACUUUCUCCACAACCUUUCCCUUGUAUUUUUCAGGAUUUUUACCAAAAAACCCUAACACCUGUUUGAGCUUCUCCUCCAUGAUCGUCCACCCCCUCUUAUCCCUACGGCCUCUUGGGACGAAGAUGUAGAACCUCUUCCCCUCUACAUCAGAGACCCCUAACCGUAUAAACCCCCCCGCUCUGUUUGUCCCUCGAAUCAUGGAGUACACUCGCCCCUGCUCCUUUCAUUCCCUUCCCCAUCUGGUUUCUUUCUCACCCUUGAUACAGAGAUUCAACCCUUCCAAGAAGAACGUUAAACUCUCCGCUCCCAGUCGGACCCAUGACGAGGCCCCUCCCUUCUUCUCCACAAUGCAUCCUUGGAUCUUUCCUCUUCUAUCUUCCACUGCAAUCUCAAACUCCUUGGACUCCACUGUAAACCUACUCUCCUUCCUUCUGAUUUGCGACGCCGAUCUUAGUUAGAGUUAAUGAAAAUAAAUAUAUCAAUUUGAUAAUUUUGAAUAAAUUUUAAGUUAAUUUUACCAACAAAAAAAUAAAACUUUAAUAGUUAAAGUAAAAAAUAAAUAAUAAAUUUUAAGUCAACAAUUUAAGAAUAAUUUAACUUAAAGUUAACUUAAAUCAUUAAUUAAUAAGUAGAAAGUUUUACGAAACACCCAUUUAAUUUGUGUAUUGAGGUUUAACGAUAUUAUCAAACGAAGUUUACAGCAUAUAAUAAAUUUAAAAUUUAAAAUUUAAAUUUAAUAUGCAACAAGAAACUAAAAGCAACUUUAAAAUUUAAAUUUUUAAAAUUAGAAUAACUUUCAAGCACUUCAAAUGUGCAAGAUAAUAAAUUUUGUAAGGAAUAAUAAUAAAACAUAACAAGUGAAAAUGUAAAUUGCAUAUAAACUAGACAUGUACAUUCAGAGAAUGAAAUGACUUUGCCAUAUAGAAAUGAGAAGAAAGAGAGAGGUGACUCACCAAUAAGCUGACAUAAGCCACUCUUGGAGUUUAAGCAUUCUUGGAUGAGUUUAAGCAUGGGAUCCUUCCUCACAGUUCUCUCCUCCUCUUGGCCUCUUAGGUUGUGAUUCCUCAAGACAGUUAUAACGACUUCCAUCACUGCUUCUCUUGGCACUAGUAUACCUUGUUUGAUGGUUCACUUUCUUAUCUCGAGCGUAUAUAAGAUGGAUUCCACAGUUUUUCACCACAUGGGAUGCCCCAGAGAGACUAAAAUAAGCUGUAAUCUUCCUGGAUUUAUUGGGGCUACUGGACUUGGGUAUCAUAAGUUUAGCACCAGGUUGAUACACCAGCCAUAUGUGAUCGAUCAGUCUCAACCACUCUGUCUCCGCUGUGCGUCCAAGAGAUGGAACUAGUCAAAUAAGGCCCCUCUCUAAAUUCAAAAUUACAACAAAUCAGACCAGGGCCUUGAAUUAUUUCAUCCUCCUCAAGUGAGAACACAGAGCAUAGAGCAAAACCCAAGAAGUCCUUGUUAUGCCAAUUUGGAGGCAGCUCUAUUGUUACCGAGGAUCCGAUACUUGGAUGCUGGAACCACUCUGGAAUUGUACUUCCAGGAAGAACAAUACUGUAUUCAAUUUCUGGAAGAAAGUUCUGCAUCAAAAGAUAAAUAGAUAAAUAAAUAAUUAUAAUGUUUUAAGAUAUAAGACCAAAUUCAAACAUGAGAGAGUUAAACCUGAUGAAGUUUCUCCAGUAUAGUUGCCACAUUAUCCUGAGCUAGUGCGAAGCAAUUCGGCAGUUUGAAAGUUACAAGACGAAGGCAAGAGGAAGACGAUAGGAACUGUGGCGACUGUGGAGAUAGAACUGAUAAAGACUCAAGGGAUAUGCAAUCCCCAGCAUCUAAUAAUUUUAUACUUGGUGGGAGCUUGGAAAUUUCUUGAAGGCUUUUGCACUGAUUCACAGAAAUGACCCUUAGAUGAGAAAGUCUAUUCACCUCCUCAGGUACGGUAACCAAAUUGUUUCUGCUAAGGUUUAAUUCUUCCAAGAAGCGUAAGUGGCCAAGAUUGUCAUUGAUCGAUCUAUCGGUUAGAUUGCAGCCACUAAGAUCUAAAUAUUUUAAGGAGUAUAAACCUGACAAAUAAGGCAACUGCAAACCAGUCCCAUCUGAAUUUUCUCUAUGUAGUAACCUGAAUAGAAGGGAUGAAAUCCAGGAGUUAGAUGUUGAUCCUUUACAUCGCCUAAAGGAUAACUCUUUAAGGUUUCUCAAAUGAAAAAGUGAGAGAGGUGGUUGAGUUAUAGCAGUUCCAUCAGCUUGAAGUUUCAUCAAGAAUUGCAACCUCCCCAGGUCCUCUGGCAAUUUGCUGAGUUUUGAACAGCCAGAGACAAUGAGGGUUUCAAGGGAUCUCAAACUGCAAAUGCUAUUUGGAAGACUCCUGAGGUUUUUGCAUUUUCUCAUAUUUAAUAACUGAAGGCCUUUUAGAUGAACAAUUGAGGGGGACAGCUCUUUUAUAGAUGUUCCAUCUAAAAGAAGCUCUUGUAAACAUUCCAUAUCCUCCAUGAUUUCCGGAAAAAUCUCUAGACCUGAACAGCCAGAGAGCACCAGAGUUCCCAGGGAUUUCAAAGAAUAAAUGUUGCUUGGAAGAAUCAUAAGGUUUUUGCAGUUUUUCAUAUCCAAUAAAACAAGUCUUGGGAGAAACACCACUGAAGGGGGAAGUUCUACAAUAGCAGUCCCUUCCAAAUUAAGCUCCAACAAAUUUUCCAUACACCCUUGGAUCUCUGGAAACUUGUCAAUUUUAGAGCAGCCGGAGAGGUUAAGAACUUCAAGUGAUUCCAAUCCAGUGAUGCUUGGAAAAUAGUGAAGCAUCUUGCAGUUUUUCACAUUCAAGAUCGUAAGUCUCUUCAGCUUUGUAACUGAUGGGUGCACCUCAGGCAAACUCGUACAACCGUCAAGAAUUAGCCGCUCCACACGUGGUGCAAAAGACAAGUUUGGACAUUCCAGAAGGUGUUGAGAGUUACCGAGAUCGAUGACUACUAACUUUGGAAGACGCUGAAACAUAAAGUAAAUCAAAAUUAAAAUUCCCACUCAUUUGCUUCGAUGAACUUUAAACUUCGUUGAUAAAGAAGCAGCAAUCAUACCUUACGCCUUUUCCAGAGGUAUUUUAAGCUGCUAUGCCUCAAACUGAGUUCACCCAAUUUCUCACCAUCAAAAUUUGAUGGCAAUGACUCCAAAGUCCAUCCAUCCCAAUGGAGAUAUCUCAACUCAUGAGAAGGAAAUUUAAAAUCUCGAGGAAGAUGGACGGUGUUAGAAACUAUAGAAUUAUUUUCUGCAUUUUGAUAGACUCGGAGCAAUCUAAGUCUUGUCAUUUUUUUGAAAGCAUCAGAGGUAAGAUGCAUUUCAUUUGAUAGAGACAUGUUUAGGAAUAUGCCUUCAAUUCUCUCUGUCCCCUAAAAACCAUGAAGAAGGGAUUAGUAAAGAACAAAACCCAUAAAAUCUAACUAAAAACAUAUAGGUAAACAACUUUUUAACUGAAAAUCAAUGCCUUAAAAUCUAAAUAAGGUCAGGUACUUAAGCUCUUACCGUAUUUUUUGUCAAUACAUGAUGAACAUCUUCAGGAUCCCACAAUCUGCUCCAUUUUCCAGGUUCAUUAUGAUCUUGCUGCCGAACAAUUUCCCAACAAGCUUUUUGCAUCAAAUCAUGCAUCAAUAACUUCUUGUCAAAAAUACUAAUGAGAGAUCUGUCAUUAAGCACUCGCGUUCCGAGGCGACCAUACUCAAGUAUUCGUUCAACAAAAUCCAAGUCCUCUCCUUUGAAGAAGCAUGCAACAUCGAGGAAUACAUCUUUCAUAGAAUCAUCCAGUGUUUGAAAACAUCUCAUAAGCACAUUUUGGAUUUGCAUGUUAGGUCGUUUCUCCAGCCUUUGUAGUACACUUUUCCAUUCAAAUUUUUUCUUACCAAACAAGAGAGAACCUAGAACUUCAAGAGCUAUUGGAAGUCCCUUACAAUAAUCUACUAUGCAUCUCGAUAGGCCUAUAAAACCUUUUUGAGGACUGUUCAUGUGAAACGCAUGCAAAGAAAAGAGUUGUGUAGCUUCCUUACAAUUUAAUUCCUUAGCCUCAUAGAAUGCAUCCCCUCCCAACCCAGCAAGCAAAUUUUUGUUUCCAGAUGUUACAAUAAUUCUACUACCUGGACCAAAUGUACUGCGAUUUUGAAUUAAGGAUUCCAAUUGAAAAUAAGUAUUAACAUCAUCAAAAACAACAAGAACCUUUUUAGACAUAAACAUACGCCUUAUUUCAUAACUCCCUUCAGAAUUGUCGCUUAUGGUCGGAAUAUCUUCCCCUAGAAUAUCUCUAAGAAGUUGCUUUUGUAACUGAAGCAAACUCAAUUGUUGACUACUAAUAUUCAAAAGAAAGCUAGCACCAUCGAAUUGAUGAACAAUUGUGUUAUACACAACUUUGGCUAGAGUUGUCUUGCCUAUUCCAUCAAUUCCACUUAUCCCAAUCAUGCGGACAUCAUUUGAGUCAAUAUGUAUUAGCGAGGCCAUUUCCUUCAAACGACGUUCCAUUCCAAUCAGCUUAUCACCAACAUGUAAGAGUUUAAGAUUCCUACUUAAAAUGUCUUGAACAAUUCUCUGAAUAGCCUGUGAUUCAUACCUGCCAAUCAUAAACCAAUAUAACAACCUAUAAUGAGUUAGAAACUGUAAUAAACAAAGCAUGGAACUGAUGAUGAUGUUUAGUUUUCUUCACAACCGAACUAUAGCAAGCAUAAAUAUAUAUAGGAUUCCUUGAAGUGCAUGACAAAUCUAAAUUAAUUAACUUAUACCUUCACAUAUAUUUUCAUUAUGUUGUGCACCCAUUAUUAAAUGUAAAAGACCGGAUGAGUUUGUCUGUGCUCCUGUUUAGUGACUCCAAAUCAUUGAAGUUGAUUACUAGUAGCAAAUAUCAGUUUUGUUUCAACACACACAUGUAUCCAUGCGCCAAAUCCCAAUGACUAUUACUAUCAUGGAAAAAACUCAUGAAUAACUAGAAUGCUUAGAAAAAAUUUAUAUCCAACAAAAUUUCCUUGAUCAUAUGUUUGAUUUUGCCAACUUUUUUUCGAUCAAUGAUGAGGAGCUUGAAAGUAGUUAAAUUUUAAAAAUUAAUAAUUUCUACUAUAUUAAUUAUUUUCCAUUUUAGGUGUUCAUUUUUCUUGAAAGUUUCCAUUUGAAUAUCGCAUUGUUUCCUUGAAGAAAGGAUUAUUCCAGUGCAUGAAUACUAAAUGAAAUUCUAAUAUAUAGACGAGCAUGGAGAAUUCAAUUCAUAUAGUUGUAAAUGAAUGAAAGCAGCUGAAAGCAAAGAUUCAUACAUACCCAUCCUGCACAUGGUAUCCAGACAAAUUGGCUGCUUCCGUUAACGCCGCCUUCCAUCUCAUCACCUUAUCUUCCGGGACCUUCUGGUAUUUAUCAAAUGCUUCUCCAAAACUCCGCGUCUGAUUUCGCACAUCACAUGGAUCCACAUGGUAGAAAACUGGCACAACUAUCUGUCCCUUUUGUGUCUUGCACUCCAUGAUCUUGGCCAGCUCAUCCAAGCACCAUUUUGAGUGAGCAUAGGUUUUCGAAAAAACCACAAUACACAUCCUCGAUUCUUCAAUAGCCUUCAAGAGUGAUGACCCGAUCUCUUCUCCUCUAUGAAGUCCUUCAUUGUCUCUGAAGGUGCGGAUGCCCUUCUGUUGACACAAAGCGGAAUAAAGAUGAUCAGUAAAAGUGAAGCGAGUGUCUUCACCUCUAAAGCUCAAAAAGACGUCCCAACUCCAUCCAAGAGAAAAGUCACUUGAUCUUGUCGUUGGAGCCAUAGUCGGGGACGUUGUUCGUCCAAAAUUGCAAGACACUAAGAAAUUUUUGGGUUGUUAGUGUCAAAAUUACAAGAGAGUCUGAAGAUUUAUUUCUCUCUACCUUUUAACAUUGGAGAUUCCUCUAAUCUUCUUCUUUCUUUCUUUUUUCUUUUUUUUAUUUUAUUUUAUUUUUAUUCAAUGCACAGUAUUAGAAACAGAGGGCGAGACUUCCUGGAAUUGCUACUUCGGUUUCCUCACCUCUUUUUCCUCUUGGACAGUCAACUUUGGGCUGCUGCUUUUCCUUUUCUCACCUUUUUUGGCCCUUUUCUUUCCUGACUCUGGUACGUUUUUUCAUUUGGCACGAUGACGUCGGAGCUUUCAUCCCACGCUUUCUAAUUUUUUAUUUUUUUAAAAAUUCUAAAAACAGUUUUUAAUUUUGAAAAUAAAAACCCAGUUUUAAAAUUUUAGGGCACCAUUUAGUUAUUGUUUUCUGAAAAUAAUUUUUAAAAACAAAAUAAAAUUGAGAUGAAUGCCUUCUUUACAACUCUAUAUUGAAAAUUUUCAAAAAUAUGAUAUUUUCUAUCAAUUACAAGUGCUGUUCUAAAUUUCCUUUUAAUUUUUCUAAAUUUUUUCAUUAGCCAAAUAGGUUUAAAUCAAACCACACCUAAUACAUAAAAAUUAACAUUACAAAAUCAAAAAGGUCCAAAUUGAUCCGAUUAACAUUAUAAAGUUAUAAACUAAAAUACAUUUUAAAUGAAUUUACUGUUUGUCUCUUCAUAUAUAAUCAUAUUUUUUCAGAUUUUUUUAUUGUAAAUAGUGAACGAAACUGAUUACAACUAGAAACUCAUGGAUUUAAAUAGGUAUAAAAUGAUUUUAUUAUAUCUUUUUUACAUAUAAUUAUAUUUUUAUAAAUUUUCUCAUUAAAUAAACUUCAAAUCAAGAGAGGUUUUAUGUGUUAUAUUCAUUAAUAAGUCUAAUAAUUUUUAAAAAUAAAUCUAAUUAUCAAUAAAAAUAAUAGACCAAAAGUGGUAUAAUAUCAUGAAUUUAUUGUUUUUUUUAUACAUACAAUUGUAUUUUCUAAAUUUUUUAGUUAAAUAAAUAAAUUAUAAAUUAAGUAAGAUAUAAUUAAUAUUUAAAUUCUUUAAUCUUUAAAUUUUUAAGAAUAAAUUGGAAUUCAAAAAACUAACCUAAUUUAUUGUAAACCAAAUCAAAACCAAUGCAAAAUAAAUAAGAAUUAAAUAUAUAAGUGUAAUGACAAACUUGACACAUAUACAUUUUAGAAAAUAAAUUCAUUUUAAAUAAAAUAUUAUUUUAUAUUUUUAAGAAAAAAAAUUAAUUAUAUUUUAUGAAGGAAAAACUAUUUAUUUGUAAUUAUAAAAUUAUUUUUAUUUUUAAUAGGACCAAUUUAAUAGAUAUUAUAUAAUUAAAUUUAAGCAGGUACCUGGAUGCCACGCUGCUUAAAAGUAUACCAGUAAGUUGAAAAACAAAGUCUUGGUCAAAAAGAAAAAGCUUGUAGGGACGUUGAACGGGGAAAAUUCCUCUCCCAUUAGACAACUUAUUAUUCUUUCCCUUCCACCUAUAACUAUAUUUUGUAAACUAAAUAAAAAAUAAUCAAGAAUACUUUGUCCAUAACUUAAUACUAAAUAUGUGUAUGUAAUGAAAAAUAUAGUUGAUUUACAUGUUGAUAAAUACAAUUAUUAUUAUUUAUUUUUAACCAAAAAAAAAAUCAAUUGUGCUUUUAUGAAAAUAUUAAUAAUCAUAGUUUAUGGAACAAAUUAAAAUAGUAUUUUUUUUAUAAAAAAAAUAUAAUUUAUGAUUUUAUUAUAAUAUUACUAUUCAUAUUUUUUAAUUUAUUUAUAAUUAUAAAAGUAUUUUUAUUUUUUAUAAGAUUUGAAUUAAAUUUAAUUAAUAUAAAUAUAACUUGAAUUUAUAAUUUUUUUUUUGCAAAAUCAAAAUAGAAACAUUAUCUUUUAAAACAACUCACCCAAACAAAUUUUUUGCAUUUUAUUUUUUAAUAUUAUUUUUAAAAACAACUUCCAAACACUCUUCUUUUUAUAAAAUGAGUUUAUUAUUUCUCCUUUACACAUAAUUAUAUUUUUAUGAAUUUUCCCACUAAAAUAAACUUCAAAUCAAGAGAGGCCUUAUGUGUUAUAUUUAUCAAUAAAUCUAAUAAUUUUUUAAAAAUAAUUUAAAACUUAAAAAUAAAUCGAAUUACUCGUAGUAAUAAUCGACCAAAAGUGGUAUAAUAUCGUGAAAAUUAUUUUUGAAAAUUCAUAACGAAAUUUGACCAAUGUUUUUUUAUUUUUUAAACAAACUAAAAUCAAAAACAGUUUUUAGAUGAUUAGUACAAAUUGUUUUCAUAAAUUUUAAAAACAAAAGGAAAAUAUCAAGAAAUAAAAAAAAAUAGAAAGUAAAUAAAAAAGAACAACCCAGUAUAAUAUUAGUUUAUAACAUCUUCAAAUACAUGUUUUUUCUGAUUUUUCUUAAUUUCUCUAAAAAAAAUUUAUUAGGCAAAUAGAUUUGACAUCAAACCACGCCCAAUAUCUAAAUGUUAUUAAACUUAAAAAUAAAUUAAAACUCAAAAACAAAUUCAAUUAGUGCUAGAAAGUCAUCCUUUCCCCCUUUUUUUUUUUUUGAUAAAUUUUUAACUAACUCAAAUCAUUAAAAAAAGAAAUCCUUAGUAGAUAAAUUUACAACAUUUCAUAUAGUUUAUUACAAAAAAUUAUGUUCAAAACCUUAUUUAAAGAAAGAAAAAAGAAUAUUAAAAGAAAAUUUAAACUUUUUAUAUUAGAAUAAUAAAAAAAAAUUAAGCUUUAAAAUGCUUUUUUUAGUAUAAAAGAAAAAAAAUAGUGAAUAUAUUUAUUUUAAAUAGUAUUUUAAUUAUUAAAUUAUUUAUUUUCAAAAUACAAAAUAUCGUUUUUAUUAAUUUAAAUUAAUAUAUUUUUUAAAAUAAGUUUUAAAUUAUUAAUGUAUUUUUUGUUUAUUUAUAAUUUAAAAAUAAAAAUUAAUAUUGAUUUUCAACCUUAAUCAAAUGAGUUGGCAUUUCAUAUCCUCACAAUCAAUAAUCGGUGAUAUUUCGUAUUUUACCAUCAAUAAUAGGUGAUAGGAGUACCGCGAGCCGUUCUGAGGCCCAAAUGCCCUGAAAGCACAUUUCCAGCUGGCCUGAAAGCACAGUUCAAGAGGUGUGGUUACUUUCUAUCUUUGUCUUUGACAUCGCAACGUCACUUCUCUGACACCAUUGGUAGAAGAGAUGGAAAGAGGCAAUACAAUUCUGUCUUUGUUGUAGCAUUCAUUGGAGGGAAUGAUGGGCAAGACAACCACAACCGAGAUUUUCAGAAAAGAUUAAAAAAGAAAUAUUAAAAGAUAAUGGGGAGAGAUGGCCUCAAAUUAAUAAAAUGUUCGUAUAACUCUUUAAAUUGAGUUAAAGGAUAUGAAAUAAUAACAGAUAAAUAUACCUUUUAGAACACAUAUAAAAUAUUUUAUAAAAUUAAGUUAAAUAAUUUUUUUUCAAUAAUUUUUUUUUCAAAAAUACUAAAUUAAAUAAAAGUAGCUUUCAAAAAUAUUAAAUUAAAUAAUUUUUUUUUCAAAAAUAUUAAAUUAAAUUAAAGUAUUUAAAAAAAUAUUAAAUUAAAUUUUUAAAAAAAAUAUUAAAUUAAAUAUUUUUUUAAAUAUUAAAUUAAAUAAAUUUAUUUUUUAAAAAUAUUAAAUUAAAUAAAAGUAUUUUAAAAAAUAUUAAAUUAUAUAAAAAAAAAUUUAAAAAAAUAUUAAAUUAAAUAAAAAAUAUUAAAUUAAAUAAAAGUAUUUUUCAAAAAUAUUAAUUUUUUUCUCAAAAUCAACAAAGGGCAUUUUUGGAAAUACUGAAGGAUGAUAUCCUUCAACUCAAUUUUCAUACUUUCAUUGGGUCUUGGACUCAAUUUGAAGAGUUACAUGGACCUUUUUGUUAAUUUGGAGGUCCAUCUACCCCCAAAACAUAAUUCUUCCAAGAUAAUAAGGGUUAUCAAAUUUAUAGUCAUCCCAUAAUUUUAAUUGUGUACUUUGAUUAUCUUUUUCUUUUAUCCUCAUUUAAUUUUAUUUUUCUUAAUUUUUUAUCUUUUAUAUACCAUAAAUUAAAACUAAUUAUAUUAUUAUUAUUAUUAUUAUUAUUAUUAUUAUUAUUAUCUAUCAUCAUAAAUAUUAUAUUGUAGACCUCUCUUUGGAUCGGGAGGAGCUGAGAUUUUUUCGACCUCCACAAGUGUUCAAAGCCGCAUGCAUGGGACGUGUGUCAAAGACAUGACCACCUUGCCAUGGUGGUGGUUAGGGAUGAAGACUUUUUUGCUAAACAGGGAGCAGUAGAGUAGCUUGGAGAGGGUAAAAACAGGAAGGAUUGCAGGUAAGGGAGGUCGAGUGGGGUUAGAGAAAAAGUAGGAGCUAGGGGUCACUCAAGAUUAUGGUAGAAGAUACUCAAGGGGCUGGAACUCAUGGAUGGAAGCGAGAUUUCAGAUGAGGAGUGAGCUGUUUGGGAGGGCAAGGAAGAGGAAAGUGAGGAGGAAAGUUUAUGUAAAAUAAAAGGAAAAGAAUAUUUUCCUUUUUAUUGAAUUAUACUAUUGAAUCAGGAGACGUAGCUUUAUACAAGAGAUUUCCUACAAUCAUGUUAAUCAUGCUAAUAUAUUCUUGGUAGUCUAAAUAUAAAAGGCAACUAAUACAAUAUGGUUGGAUAUUUUUGUCAAUGGAAAGCCAGAUGUCAUUGACCUUCUCAACACUCCCCUCAAGUUGGAAAGUGAAUGUCAAGAACUCCCAACUUGCGCAUCAUAGUUGAGAAAGCUUCCUUUCCCAAUGACUUGGUGAAUACAUCUGCAAGUUCAUUCUUUGAAGCAACAUGUUUGGUUACAAUUGAACCAUCUUGUAUUUUGUCAUGAAUAAAAUGGCAAUCCAUCUCUAUAUGUCUGGUUCUUUCAUGGAAAACAGGAUUGGUUGCUAUAUGGAAUGCGAUUGUGUUAUCACAAUACAACAAUGUUGGCUUCGGAUGCAAUAUUCUCAAAUCUGUCAAUAACGAGCACAACCAGGAUAAUUCACAACAUGCACCUAUCAUAGUUCUAUAUUCGGCUUAUACUGAGGAGAGAGAUACGUUUUUAUGUCUCUUUGUCGACCAAGAAAUAAGAGAAGAUCCUAGAAAAACAUAAUAACCUGGAGUGGAUCUAUGAGAUAUUGGACAACCAGCCCAAUCUGAAUCAGAAAAAGCUCGCAAAGAUAAAUCAUUAUGAGAAGGGAAAAAUAGACCUUGUCCUGGACUACUUUUCAAAUAACGCAACACACGUAAGGUAGCUUCCAUGUGUGGUUUGCGUGGUGCAUGCAUGAAUCUACUUAACAUAUGGACCGAAUAGGUGAUAUCUAGCCAGGUAAUAGUCAAAUAAAUUAUGCGUCCAACAAGUUGUUUAUACUAAGAUGGAUCUUUAAGCAAUUCACCUGAAUCUGAGAGCUUUAUGUUUUGUUCCAUGGGAAAGCUCACAGGUUUAGCACCCAAAAAACCACCAUCUUUUAAAAUUUCCAAAGCAUAUUUUCGUUGUGAGAUGGAAAUAUCUUUCUUUGAUCAAGAAACUUCGAUGCCCAAAAAAUACUUCAAAUCACCCAAAUCUUUAAUCUGAAAAUGACUAUAAAGAAAUUGCUUGAGUGCUAAUAUGUCUUUGACAUUAUUACCCGUAAUAAGAAUGUCAUCAACAUAUAUUAACAAAGUUGUAAAAGAUUUGCCUUUCUGACAUGUGAAUAACGAGUAAUCAACUUUGGAUUGAGUAAAUCUAGCAGCUUGGAUAACUGUAGAGAACUUGGAAAACAAUUGUCGUGAAGUCUGCUUUAAACCAUACAACGACUUGUGAAGGCGACACACUUGAUUCUCCCCCUAUCGUUGAAGACCAGGAAGUGAAGUCAUAUAAAUUUUUUCAUAGAGAUCACCAUGAAGAAAUGCAUUGUUGACAUCAAGUUGGUGAAGACACCAAUUUUGGGCAGCUGCUAAAGCUAAUAAACAACAGAUAGUAAUCAUUUUAGCAGUGGGAGAAAAAAUGUCAUGAUAAUCUAAACCUUCCAGUUGUGUGUAACCUCUCGCAACUAAAUGAGCUUUGAAAUGCUCAAUAGUGCCAUCUGAGUGCCGUUUGAUUUUAGAAACCCAACGACAACCAAUAGGCUUUUUACCAGGAGGAAGAGAAGUGAGGGACCAAGUGUGGUUGGCAUCUAAAGUGACCAAUUCAGAUUGCUUUACUUUUUUCCAAUGGGGAUGAAAGACCGCUUCUGUAGACUCAAUAUCUUGACAGACAGUAGCAAUAAAGGAGCGAUGUUGUGGUGAGUAAUGAUAAUAAGAGACAAAAUGGCAAAGGGAAUAUCGCGUACCUUUUUCUGGACUUGAUGACAAAGGCGAAAAAUGGUUGGGAGACCAUUUUCAUUUUAUUUUAUUUUUCUUAAUUUUUUAUCUUUUAUAUUUUAUAUACAAUACAUUAGCACUAAUUAUAUUAUUAUAAUUAAUAUAAAUAUAACUUGAAUUUAUAAUUUUUUUGCAAAAUCAAAAUAGAAAUAUUAAUUUUUAAAAACAACCCACCCAAACAGAUUUUUUGCUUUUUAUUUUUUAAUACUAUUUUUAAAAACAACUUUCAAACACUUUUCCUUUUAGAAAAUAUUAAAAAAUUGUUUUUUUUUCUCUUUAACUUAGAAAACGUUGUGAAACCACCUAAGUACUUAGGAAUUCUUGUCAAGUUAUUACUAUUUUUUUUUUCAAAAUUUAUUUUAGGUUUCUAAAAACUUUUUUCAAAAAUUUUAAAAUGAAAAUGUUUUACUUCCUUAAAUUUUAAAAAUUGUUUUUAAUUGCAGAAGGUAUAUAUAUAUAUAAAGAAUUUCUAUAUUUUAUCUACAACUUUCUAUUUUUAAAAUUAAAAAAUAGAAAAUAUAUCUUAACAUAACACAAGAUAUUAUUUUUGUUUAGAAUUUAUUAAUGCAGUUAAUCAAUAGAUUUGAGAUUGAAGUUAAUAAAAGGUGUUUUCAAUAACAUAAUAAUUAAUAAAAUGAGAAAGAAAUUUUUUUUAAGUCAUUAAGUACUAAACAAACUAAGGUUAUAUUGGUUAAUAUUAACGGAUUGUUUUUAGUUGAAUAGAAAAAAUCAGAAUAAGUAAAAUAUUUUAAUUUUUUAUAUUCAAUUAAAAAACAAAUAUUACUUAAGUGACUCUUAAAAAAGGUCAAGUGAACUAGAAUGAAUCAAAUGUUAGUCUACUCAAUUGGACGGUGUUAGGCACUUAAUUUUAUCUUAUUUCCAGCAAAAUAGCAUGCGAGUGUACCAUGGGAUAGGCCAUCUUUGCAAUUUCCUUUGUAUUUGCUUUUUCCCCUUUUCUUUUUUCUCUCAAAUUUCUAAAAUCCAAAUGAAGCAUAAAAUUACUAAAUAGGAUAAAGCUUAUCUUUUGGAUAUGAUUGCAUGGUGUUCUCACUGACUGCUCAUUCAAACCUCAAUCAUACAUACAUUUCAAAGCUGAAAACAUAAAUUCUAGUUUCUAGCAUUUGCAAGUCAUACUUUUUCAUCCACACAGAAUGAAUUAUUCCCAAAUUGUAGUGUGUUUUUGUCAAGGAUCGAGAUUAAUGCCUACCAGUCUGCAAUUAGAUGAUCAGUACAAGUAGACCAUCCCAUGUCUCUUUAGCAACUGUUUCUCUUUCAAGGACUCACAUUCAGACAUCAACUCAUCCCACUGCUUGUCUUUUGGAACCGCUUCCAACCAUUCAGCGCUACGCCAUAAGAUACAAGGUUUCAAUUCCAUGUCUAUAUAUAUUAUAUAGUCCAUAAUCACCUAUGAAGAAAUUAUUAUUCAUGUUUGUGAAACUUAAACUAACAUAUAAAGUUAAAAUGUAAGAUAAAUGAAGGAAUAUAAGAAAUAAAUCAUGAGGAUCAAGUACUCUGGAACAGAAAUGAAAUUCUACGUACCUGACAUGGGAAACCAACUUAAGCCUCAAUUGAUCAGUUGAGUGUUGUUCCAGCUUGGUUGAUCAAUUCCAAGACCCGCACGGUAGACAAUGUAAACUUGUUCAAAACAAGACUUCAAUGCCUCAAAAAUAAUAAUGGGCAAAUACUCUGGAACAAGUCCUAAAGUGGUUUACAAAUUAACAUAACUGGUCUGGAUCUUUUAGGCCAAUAUUUAUUUAUUUAUUCUUUUUGUUUUUGGGGUGGGCAUAUUUUUACAUCCUAGAAAUUUUAAACAGCAAAAAUAUAAUCAAGAAUUUAAGCUCCUUUAAUCUGUUUGCGGUGGAAACUUACACCAGAAAGGAAAAAUAACUUACCAAUAAUGUUGUCAUGGCUUGAAAGGUCCAAAACCAGAGACACAGAGAGAGACUAUCAAGGAGGAGGAGCUCUGGGGGUGCCAUUGUGAAUCCUACAAUUUUGGCCUUGGAUCUAUGCAUGGAACCGUCGGUGGAUCAUCUCAAACUUUUAGGGGCUUCUGAUCAUUACUAGAGCUUACCACUUCCAACUCCACUGGUGUUCUCAAGAUCAACAUGUACAAGACCAAUCCCACACUUUUCCACCUUCACUGGUUUACCAUUAACAUGGCCACGAAAUGAAGCCAUUAAAUGCCUUCGUUUAUCGGAGCGAUAUCUGUGCUUAAUAGCAACAUUAGAAUAAUACGUUACCCACACUGACUCUGAUACACCAUCAUUAUGGUCGCAUUGGCAGGAUGAUCCACAGGAGAGAUAAUCCAAAAACCCAAUUUCAUCAUCAAGGAAAGUCAAUUCACAUCCUAAAUGAUAAGGUUGCGUGAUAUUCACCGUGGCAUUCUCAGACGUACUACUCGCUGGUUCAUCCAUUGAUUUAUCCAGAGGUUCACCCUGUUGUGGAAUAUAAACACAGCAUAAAGCCAAUCCCAAGAAGUCCUUGUCGUACCAAUUAAGUGGUAGCCGUAUUGUUGCUUCACUGCUAAUACGCUGGAAUGAUAUCCACUCUGGAAGUUCUCCACUUCCAGGGAUAACAGUACUAAAUCCCUGGCUGACACCAUUUGCUGGAAGAGACAAAAGCCUUCUGUAUUUCAACUCCUGCACAGAAGGUACCAUGUUAAACAUUGAGCAUGACUGCGUAAAAUUUCAAGUUUUGGGCCCAAAUAGCCCAUUAUGGGAAAAUAAUUAAGUUUAACCACUUUGUCAAAUUUAUAUUCAAAGUAACCCAUUUAUUACACAUAGGAGCGAUAUCAUUAUAUUUUUUUUCUUAAAUUUAAGUUAAAACCUCAAUUAUCAACUAUGGAUUAAGCUAAAAAAUGACGCCUCGAUAUCACAAACAUGAUUUUUAAAAACUUUGUGAAACCACCUAAGUUCUUAGGAAUUCUUGUCGAGUUAUUACUAUUUUUUUUUUCAAAAUUUAUCUUAGGUUUCUAAAAACUUUUUUCAAAAAUUUUAAAAUGAAAAUGUUUUACUUCCUUAAAUUUUAAAAAUUUUAAAAGUUGUUUUUAAUUGCAAAAGGUAUAUAUAUAUAUAUAAAAGAAUUUUUAAAUUUUAUCUACAACUUUCUAUUUUUAAAAUUAAAAAAUAGAAAAUAUAUCUUAACAUAACACAAGAUUUGAUUUUUGUUUAGAAUUUAUUAAAGCAGUUAAUCAAUAGAUUUGAGAUUGAAGUUAAUAAAAGGUGUUUUCAAUAACAUAAUAAUUAAUAAAAUGAGAAAGAAAUUUUUUUUUAAGUCAUUAAGUACUAAACAAACUAAGGUUAUGUUGGUUAAUAUUAACGAAUUGUUUUUAGUUGAAUAGAAAAAAUCAGAAUAAGUAAAAUAUUUUAACUUUUUAUAUUCAAUUAAAAAACAAAUAUUACUUAAGUGACUCUUCAAAAAGGUCAAGUGAACUAGAAUGAAUCAAAUGUUAGUUUGCUCAAUUGUACGGUGUUAGGCACUCCAUCAAACAAAGAAAAAAUUCAUUGGUCUUUACUAGGUAAGUUGAAAUAAUUUUCACAUUUUAUUACUUAAUUGAUGAUUAUUAAUAUGAAAAAUAAAAUAACAUAAAAAUCAAUUUAUACAACAAAAUUAUAAUUUUCUUUCACAUCAAUUUCACUAAAAUUAAUUUAUGCAAUAAAAUCGAUAUAUAGAUAGAAUUCUAAUAUUUUUCAACAUCAAUUUCACUAAGAUUAAUUUAUGGAUUAAAAUCCUAUUUUCUUUAAUAUUGAAUUCAUUCUAAUUUCAUUAAUAUCAAUUUUAUGAGUUCAAAUUGUGUUUUGUUAAUACCAGGCUACCAGCUUUGUAAUAAUAAAACCAUCUAAUAGUCCAACACAUAUAGGCCCAUGGUUAGGCCCAAGCCUAUAAAUUACUCGCUGAUGAAUGCCAAGUUUAAGGGGGAUACUUUUGCUCCUCCAUUUCCGACAUGGAAUCAAGUGACUUCAUUUUAUCAUACAUACAUUUCAUAGCUGAAAACAUAAAUUCUAGUUUCUAGCAUUUGCAAGUCAUAGUGUUUUCGUCAAGGAUCAAGAUUAAUGCCUACCAGUCUGCAAUUAGAUGAUCAGUACAAGUAGACCAUCCCAUGUCUCUUUAGCAACUGUUUCUCUUUCAAGGACUCACAUUCAGACAUCAACUCAUCCCACUGCUUGUCUUUUGGAACCGCUUCCAACCAUUCAGCUACACCAUAAGAUACAAGGUUUCAAUUCCAUGUAUAUAUUAUAUAGUCCAUAAUCACCUAUGAAGAAAUUAUUAUUCAUGUUUGUGAAACUUAAAUUAACAUAUAAAGUUAAAAUGUAAGAUAAAUGAAGGAAUAUAAGAAAUAAAUCAUGAGGAUCAAGUACUCUGGAACAGAAAUGAAAUUCUACGUACCUGAUGACAUGGGAAACCAACUUAAGCCUCAAUUGAUCAGUUGAGUGUUGUGCCUGAAACGCGAGGGAUGUCCUAGCUUGGUUGAUCAAUUCCAAGACCCGCAUGCUAGACAAUGUAAACUUGUUCAAAACAAGACUUCAAUGCCUCAAAAAUAAUAAUGGGCAAAUACUCUGGAACAAGUCCUAAAGUGGUUUACAAAUUAACAUAACUGGUCUGGAUCUUUUAGGCCAAUAUUUAUUUAUUUAUUCUUUUUGUUUUUGGGGUGGGCAUAUUUUUACAUCCUAGAAAUUUUAAACAGCAAAAAUAUAAUCAAGAAUUUAAGCUCCUUUAAUCUGUUUGCAGUGGAAACUUACACCAGAAAGGAAAAAUAACUUACCGAUAAUGUUGUCAUGGCUUGAAAGGUCCAAAACCAGAGAGACAGAGAGAGACUAUCAAGGAGAAGGAGCUCUGGGUGUGCCAUUGUGAAUCCUACAAUUUUGGCCUUGGAUCUAUGCAUGGAAUCGUCGGUGGAUCAUCUCAAACUUUUAGGGGCUUCUGAUCAUUACUAGAGCUUACCACUUCCAACUCCACUGCUGUUCUCAAGAUCAACGUGUACAAGACCAAUCCCACACUGUUCCACCUUCACUGGUUUACCAUUAACAUGGCCACGAAAUGAAGCCUUUAAAAACCUUGGUUUAUCGGAGCGAUAUCUGUGCUUAAUAGCAACAUUAGAAUAAUACGUUACCCACACUGACUCUGAUACACCAUCAUUAUGGUCGCAUUGGCAGGAUGAUCCACAGGAGAGAUAAUCCAAAAACCCAAUUUCAUCAUCAAGGAAAGUCAAUUCACAUCCUAAAUGAUAAGGUUGCGUGAUAUUCACCGUGGCAUUCUCAGAUGUACUACUCUCUGGUUCAUCCAUUGGUUCAUCCAUUGAUUCAUUCUCAGACGUACUACUCUCUGGUUCACCCUGUUGUGGAAUAUAAACACAGCAUAAAGCCAAUCCCAAGAAGUCCUUGUCGUACCAAUUAGGAGGUAGCGGUACUAUUACUUCAUUGCCAACACCCUGGUGUUGUAUCCACUCUGGAAGUUCUCCACUUCCAGGGAUAACAGUACUAAAUCCCUGGCUGACACCAUUUGCUGGAAGAGACAAAAGCCUUCUGUAUUUCAUCUCCUGCACAGAAGGUACCAUGUUAAACAUUGAGCCUGACUACAUAAAAUUUCGAGUUUUGGGCCCAAAUAGCCCAUUAUGGGAAAAAAAAUUAAGUUUAACCGCUUUGUCAAAUUUAUGUUCAAAGUAACCCUUUUAUUACACAUAGGAGCGAUAUCAUUAUAUUUUUUUUUUCUUAAAUUUAAGUUAAAACCUUAAUUACCAACUAAGGCUUAAGUUAAAAAAUGAAGCCUCGAAGGAUGAUGUGACACUUACCUAGAAAGAGACCACAUUGAAUAUAAGUUUUAAAAAUGGCCUAAAAGUUAUAUUACAGGCUAUCUGGACCCAAAAUUCUAAAAAUUCUGUGCUACGAAAAC